rnacentral:rRNA from 1 species
UACGAAGGGGGCUAGCGUUGCUCGGAAUCACCGGGCGUAAAGCGCACGUAGGCGGAUUGUUAAGUCAGGGGUGAAAUCCUGGAGCUCAACUCCAGAACUGCCUUUGAUACUGGCGAUCUUGAGUCCGGGAGAGGUGAGUGGAACUGCGAGUGUAGAGGUGAAAUUCGUAGAUAUUGGGAAGAACACCGGUGGCGAAGGCGGCGACCUGGUCCGUGACUGACGCUGAGGCGCGAAAGCGUGGGGAGCAAACAGG